rnacentral:tRNA from 1 species
GGGGAUGUAGCUCAGUUGGGAGAGCGCCACGUUCGCAACGUGGAGGUCGGGGGUUCGAAUCCCCCCAUCUCCA